rnacentral:rRNA from 1 species
GACGAACGCUGGCGGCGUGCUUAACACAUGCAAGUCGAACGGCAAGGCCCUGCUUUUGUGGGGUGCUCGAGUGGCGAACGGGUGAGUAACACGUGAGUAACCUGCCCUUGACUUUGGGAUAACGUCAGGAAACUGGGGCUAAUACCGGAUAGGAGCUCCUGCUGCAUGGUGGGGGCUGGAAGGUUUCGGCGGUUGGGGAUGGACUCGCGGCUUAUCAGCUUGUUGGUGGGGUAGUGGCUUACCAAGGCUUUGACGGGUAGCCGGCCUGAGAGGGUGACCGGCCACAUUGGGACUGAGAUACGGGCCAGACUCCUACGGGAGGCAGCAGUGGGGAAUAUUGCACAAUGGGCGGAAGCCGGAUGCAGCAACGCCGCGUGCGGGAUGACGGCCUUCGGGUUGUAAACCGCUUUCGCCUGUGACGAAGCGUGAGUGACGGUAAUGGGUAAAGAAGCACCGGCUAACUACGUG